AACCUUAUGGACCUGCGGGCGUAUACCUGCGGAAGGAUCAUUACCGAGUUUACAACUCCCAAACCCCUGUGAACAUACCACUUGUUGCCUCGGCGGAUCAGCCCGCUCCCGGUAAAACGGGACGGCCCGCCAGAGGACCCCUAAACUCUGUUUCUAUAUGUAACUUCUGAGUAAAACCAUAAAUAAAUCAAAACUUUCAACAACGGAUCU
rnacentral:misc_RNA from 1 species